AUAGUGAUAUUUCCCCUUCCUCCCCCCCCCUCCUUUUUCUUUCCUAUUAUUUGGAGUUCCAAUUGAGGUCACCAUGCAACGACAGCAAUCUAGCAGGCCCAUUCCCCAUAUUGUGGUUAAAUGUGCAGACUAUCUCAUAGUAUCUGGAUUAAACUCACUAGACCUUUUGAAGUCUGAAGGAGAUAAAAUGGUCAUUCAACAAUUGGUUUCAAUAUAAAACCAAGAUUCAAAUGCAUCAUUAUCAGAGGGAGUAAAUCCACUUGACAUGGUAGCUCCAAUAAAAUGCUAUGUCGAGUAUAUGUCCUUUUUAUGUCUUUCCUCCAUAUUUACUGCAUUCUUUCAAAACACCAAGAGGAUUAUUUAGUUGAUCAAGUGAGAUAUGCAUCAUAGUCCUACUUGUAAAGAUAAAACCAUCCGAAAGAAAAUUUUUAGCAUCAUUAGAUGCUAUUAAAUGGAAAAUAUGUCCUGAUCUAUUAAAAAAUUCAUACCAUGCAGCAUCUAAACUUAUGGAAUCUAUCUUUGUGCAGUUUUGUCCAUUGACAGUUGUUAAAUCUAGAAUUAUGUGCGUCGUAAGGUAUGCCCCACAUGACAUAAAUUGCUCUUAUUGUCCUGACACAUGCAAAAAAGUCCAUGUAUGAUCUUCCUCUUGUAAUAGAAGUAGAUUAAAAUGACCAACUUGGUAGAUUAAUUAUUCUUAUCACCAUUGUGUCAACUUGGUUUAACUUCCUGAUUUCUCUAUUUUUCAUUAAUACUCCACUAAUCUUAACAAAUACUCCACCUCUCUUAUCUACAAAAAUACUUCUAAAACCCAACAGAAAACAGUGAAUGAAAAACACUAUUUUUUUUAGCAACAAUAUACUUCAUUCUAGAUUGGGAAUAUGUUAUCUGAAGAAGAAAAUGUAUCAUCGUCAGUUUCUUCAUUUUCUCUUGUUAAUCAUACUUUGAGAAACAACCUAAUGUACAAUUGUGGGUCACCUGCUUCACUUAGAACAUCGAACACGCUAAGAAAUCCGGGCCGAUCAUUAUUUGGGUAUUCAAAGUACAAUACGAAGGUACAAAAAAUAAUCAUUUAAUACUUUGAUAGUACCGAUUUGGGUUUGACUAAAAUUUUUGAUAUUGUUACAUUCUCAAUCGUUUGUUUGUUUAUACAUGGGUUACCACAUUGCAACUAUUUCAUAUGAGCAGAUAGCAGUCAGGAAAGAGAUAACAAACUUAUGAAAAUAGAAAUUGAGAUUUUAAGGAAGAAUGAAGAGUUUCAGAAAACACAUGAAGAGUUUCAAAAAACAUAGGAAGAGCUUUAGAAAACACAUGAAGAGUUUCAAAAAGCACAGGAAGAGCUUUGAAAAUUAUUGCAAGUGUUUUGAAAAAGAGAGGAAGAGGUUCAAAAAACUAUGGAAUUUAUUAGACAUUGGAUGGAAGAGGUUCGCCUAAGAGAUGGCAAAAU